rnacentral:lncRNA from 1 species
GUGAGCCACCACGCCCGGCCUCUUUUUAUUUUAUUUUAUUUAUUUAUUUUGAAACGGAGUCUUGCUCUGUCACCAGGCUGGAGUGCAGUGGCAGGAUCUCGGCUCACUGCAACCUCUGCCUUCUGGGUUCAAGUGAUUCUCCUGCCUCAGCCUCUUGAGUAGCUGGGACAAUUUACGUGAGCCACCAUGCCCAGCUAAUUUUUGUAUUUUUUGUAGAGGCGGGGUUUCACCAUGUUGGCCAGGAUGGUCUUGAUCUCUUGACCUCGUGAUCUGCCUGCCUUGGCCUCUCAAAGUGCUGGGAUUAUAGGCAUGAGCCACUGCGCCCGGCCUCUUCUCUUUUUAGAUAAAAUAAUGAGAUGCUACGUCAUAGGAUCUGUCUCUGAGUCCACAUUGUGGGAGAAAAGACCAUUCUUCGGAAAGAUGCAGAGGGAAGCCCCGUACCUCAAGGGAUUGAGAUGGGAGACUGAGGGAAUCCUGGGGUCUCUGCCCUCUCCCUCACUGGGAAACAAGCUCUGUUUCUUCAUGUGCUGGAGCCCUGCCUCUGUGGGUGCAGCCUGAGGACAAAGGCAGUGCUGCAUCCCCUGAUCCCCUGCCCCCUACAACCUCCUGCCCAGCCUCUUGGGUGCUCCUCAGCUUGUCGUCAGGGAGGAAGCAGCCAUCUCCUCCGAUGACUGACUUCAAGCCUCAACUCUCCCACAGCUUCUCAAAAGCCAAGGCUGAGGCCAAGUCCUAGCUGCUGCCUUGGGACAGGUCAAGGGCCUCCUGCAAUCUCAUGCACAAACUGGUACCCAUGAGCAUGUGGCCUAAGAGAUUUAUUGACCCCUCUCCAAGUCCUUGCCAGAGGAAUCCUGCACACCUAUAUCCACAAUGAAGGGAGCCAUAUCCCCAGCUGGGUAGCCAUAUCCCUAAUGAUAUCACUUAUGAAAGGUGACAAGUCCU